ensembl:lncRNA
AUGAAUUGUUUCCCCAGUUCUUCUACUUUCUUUACACUUAGAUUCUCUAUUUCUCUCUUUGUUAUAUUUGCAUCAACAACAGCAACAGCUCCUCCUCCUGCUGCUGCUGCUACUGCUAAUAAACUCAGCCCACCAGUGAGCGGAGUUGCGAGGAUUCCCAGUGCGAGGACUGUUCCUCCUACUGUUCUGGCUUUAUCUGUUGUUUCCUGCAUCUUUCUCACUUCAUCAGAGAUCUUGUUAAACUCUCUGACAAUCUCUCUCAUCUCUGAUUCUUUGAGGUCAAAUCCUUUGAUGAAUGAAGCUGCAUAUUUAAUAAUGUCGUUCAUUAAAUCAGUAAAACCAGGAGGGAGAUCUCUGCUCUCUCUUCUUCUUGGAGCAGAAGCCAUGUUCAGGAAGUCGUGUCAGCUGAUCACAGAGACUCUGUGGAGACAAAGAGAGAGAGACAGGUGAUACUCACACACAGGUGAUACUCACACACACAGGUGAUACUCACACACACAGGUGAUACUCACACACACAGGUGAUACUCACACACAGGUGAUACUCACACAGGUGAUACUCACACACAGGUGAUACUCACACACCACACAGGUGAUACUCACACACAGGUGAUACUCACACACAGGUGAUACUCACACACAGGUGACACUCACACACAGGUGAUACUCACACACAGGUGACACUCACACACAGGUGACACUCACACACAGGUGACACUCACACACAGGUGAUACUCACACAGGUGAUACUCACACAGGUGAUACUCACACAGGUGAUACUCACACAGGUGAUACUCACACACAGGUGAUACUCACACACAGGUGAUACUCACACAGGUGAUACUCACACACAGGUGAUACUCACACACAGGUGACACUCACACACAGGUGAUACUCACACACAGGUGAUACUCACACACAGGUGAUACUCACACAGGUGAUACUCACACACAGGUGACACUCACACACAGGUGACACUCACACACAGGUGACACUCACACACAGGUGAUACUCACACAGGUGAUACUCACACAGGUGAUACUCACACAAAGGUGAUACUCACACAGGUGAUACUCACACACAGGUGAUACUCACACAGGUGAUACUCACACACAGGUGAUACUCACACAGGUGAUACUCACACAGGUGAUACUCACACAACGGGUGAUACUCACACACAGGUGAUACUCACACACAGGUGACACUCACACACAGGUGAUACUCACACACAGGUGAUACUCACACAGGUGAUACUCACACAGGUGAUACUCACACACAGGUGAUACUCACACAGGUGAUACUCACACAGGUGAUACUCACACAAGGUGAUACUCACACACAGGUGAUACUCACACACAGGUGAUACUCACACAGGUGAUACUCACACAGGUGAUACUCACACACAGGUGACACUCACACACACAGGUGAUACUCACACACAGGUGAUACUCACACAGGUGAUACUCACACACAGGUGACACUCACACACAGGUGACACUCACACACAGGUGAUACUCACACAGGUGAUACUCACACACAGGUGAUACUCACACACAGGUGACACUCACACACAGGUGAUACUCACACACAGGUGAUACUCACACAGGUGAUACUCACACACAGGUGAUACUCACACAAAGGUGAUACUCACACAGGUGAUACUCACACACAGGUGAUACUCACACACAGGUGAUACUCACACAGGUGAUACUCACACACAGGUGAUACUCACACAGGUGAUACUCACACAGGUGAUACUCACACACAGGUGACACUCACACACAGGUGAUACUCACACAGGUGAUACUCACACAGGUGAUACUCACACACAGGUGAUACUCACACAGGUGAUACUCACACAGGUGAUACUCACACACAGGUGAUACUCACACACAGGUGAUACUCACACACACAGGUGAUACUCACACACAGGUGAUACUCACACAGGUGAUACUCACACAGGUGAUACUCACACACAGGUGAUACUCACACAGGUGAUACUCACACAGGUGAUACUCACACAGGUGAUACUCACACAGGUGAUACUCACACAGGUGAUACUCACACACAGGUGAUACUCACACACAGGUGAUACUCACACACAGGUGAUACUCACACACAGGUGAUACUCACACACACAGGUGAUACUCACACACACAGGUGAUACUCACACACAGGUGAUACUCACACACAGGUGAUACUCACACAGGUGAUACUCACACACAGGUGAUACUCACACAGGUGAUACUCACACAGUUAUUACAGAUAUAUGAUAGUGCUGCUAGCGAGCGUCGCGGCUCAGAUGGUGAAGCUGCAGCAUGUGUGUCGCCUGUCUGCUCUUUUCAUCAGGUUAUUUCAUGUUUCCUGCGUUGCUGUGAGAGACUGCAGCUGACUCUCUGUGGCUGUAAAGGAGGAAAGCUGCCUGCUGCCAUCUCACACAUACACAACCCCCAUUCACACAGUAUACACACAUAUACAAAUAGAGCUCCAUAAAAAGUGAACUCACCUUUGCUGGCCAGCAGUUCAUUUCUUCUUUUUGAUGAGGACGAUCGAAGGACACCGUUGUGAUUUUUAAAAUUUUUGGAUUGAAGACGUUUCAGGUUUUAUUUUCAUCUCAUGGACUGAGAGAGAGG